AAUCAACGCUGGCGGCGUGCCUCAGACAUGCAAGUCGAACGAUUAAAGCUCUCUUCGGAGAGUGCAUAGAGUGGCGCACGGGUGAGUAACACGUAAGUAAUCUACCUUCGAGUGGGGAAUAACGUCCGGAAACGGACGCUAAUACCGCAUAAUGCAGCGGCAUCGCAAGAUGACAGUUGUUAAAGAUUUAUCGCUUGAAGAGGAGCUUGCGGCAGAUUAGCUAGUUGGUAAGGUAAUGGCUUACCAAGGCUACGAUCUGUAAUCGGUCUUAGAGGACGGUCGGUCACACUGACACUGAAUAACGGGUCAGACUCCUACGGGAGGCAGCAGUCGGGAAUUUUGGGCAAUGGGCGAAAGCCUGACCCAGCAACGCCGCGUGAAGGAUGAAGUAUUUCGGUAUGUAAACUUCGAAAGAAUGGGAAGAAUCAAUGACGGUACCAUUUAUAAGGUCCGGCUAACUACGUGCCAGCCGCCGCCGUAAUAC
rnacentral:rRNA from 1 species